rnacentral:rRNA from 1 species
CCCGAAGCUGCGGCAUGCCUACACAUGCUAGUUGUACAGGAGAGUGGGGCAACUCACUCUCAGUGGCAAACGGGUGAGUAACGCGUGAAUAACCUGCCUUUGAGAAGGGGAUAACUGUCCGAAAGAAUAGCUAAUACCCUAUAUUGCCAUUUGUCACUAAGGCAAAAGGUGAAAGCGAGGCUGUCAAAGGCUUCGGCUCAAAGAGGGGUUCGCGUCCUAUCAGGUAGUUGGUAGGGUAAUGGCCUACCAAGCCAAUGACGGGUAGCUGGUCUUAGAGGAUGAUCAGCCACAGUGGGACUGAGACACGGCCCGCACCCCUACGGGGGGCAGCAGUGGGGAAUCGUGGGCAAUGGGCGCAAGCCUGACCCCGCAAUGCCGCGUGAGGGAAGAAGCCCUUCGGGGUGUAAACCUCUGUCAGAUGGGAAGAUGGGACUAGGGGCUAAUACCUCCUGGUCUUGACGGUACCAUCAGAGGAAGGGACGGCUAACUACGUGCCAGCAGCCGCGGUAAU